rnacentral:rRNA from 1 species
AAGUCGACCCCCUUGGGGAGUACCGGCCGCCAAGGUAAAACUCAAAUGAAUUGACGGGGGCCCGCACAAGCGGUGGAGCAUNUGGUUUAAUUCGAUGCAACGCGAAGAACCUUACCUACUCUUGACAUCCAGAGAAUUUAGCAGAGAUGCUUUGGUGCCUUCGGGAACUCUNAGACAGGUGCUGCAUGGCUGUCGUCAGCUCGUGUUGUGAAAUGUUGGGUUAAGUCCCGCAACGAGCGCAACCCUUAUCCUUUGUUGCCAGCGGUCCGGCCGGGAACUCAAAGGAGACUGCCAGUGAUAAACUGGAGGAAGGUGGGGAUGACGUCAAGUCAUCAUGGCCCUUACGAGUAGGGCUACACACGUGCUACAAUGGCGCAUACAAAGAGAAGCGACCUCGCGAGAGCAAGCGGACCUCAUAAAGUGCGUCGUAGUCCGGAUUGGAGUCUGCAACUCGACU